rnacentral:tRNA from 2 species
GCGCCGUUAGCUCAGUCGGUAGAGCAGCUGACUCUUAAUCAGCGGGUCCGGGGUUCGAAACCCUGACGGCGCA